rnacentral:rRNA from 1 species
CCUACGGGAGGCAGCAGUAGGGAAUCUUCCGCAAUGGACGAAAGUCUGACGGAGCAACGCCGCGUGAGCGAUGAAGGCCUUCGGGUCGUAAAGCCUUGUUGUCAGGGAAGAACAAGUAUCGGAGUAACUGCCGGUACCUUGACGGUACCUGACCAGAAAGCCACGGCUAACUACGUGCCAGCAGCCGCGGUAAU